ACACCAGAAAACACUCCCACCUCUGAUGUCCACGUGACGCCCCACACUUCACAAAAGCACUCACUCUCUGCCCCACCUUGCCCCAUCCACACAGCAGCCUCACCUUGGCCCCCAGGCUCAGAGAGGUCAAGUGCCUGCAGAUUCUAGACUUGACGCUGGGACUUCUGAGUCCAACCCAAGCCCAUUCCUCUGCACACAGAGGCCACAGACACUGUGCACUCGCUUUGAUUGGCUUGUUAGUUUGUGUUUACAAGAUAAGGAAACUAAGGCUCAGAAAGGUUGAGUGACUCGUCCAUGGUCACACCGCUGAUAGAUGGCAGAGCCAGGACCAAGACCCCAGCCUGCUGGACUCCAAAGGCACAUCGGCUGCCCCAGCCAGGCCCAGAGCCCACAGCCCAAGUGAAUGCCCUCACCUUCAUGCUCCAGUGGGACGUAGCUGAAGCAUUCUGCUCGAGUGAUGGACAGUUCAGUCACAGCAGUUCUAGAUAUAAGUGAUGAACAAACUACGGUGGCCGGCAGCCAUCAUGUUGAAGUCUUACCAGGUAUCAUGCUGAGCACUUGACUGCACUCAUUUAACCCUCACAACAUCCUGAGAUCUAUGCUGUUAUCCCCAUUUUACAGAUGCACAGACAGGCAUCCCUCAGAGAGAUUGUUGUGGGUUCGGUUUCAGAUCAUCGCAAUAAAGCAACUGUCACAAUGAAGCAAGUGUCGCAAUAAACUGAGUUGCAAUCCUUUUGCUGGUGGAGGGUCUUGCCUUCAAUUUGUAAAGAAUGCAACAUCUGUGAAGUGCAAUGAAGCAAAGUAUGACUGUCCUGAG